rnacentral:rRNA from 1 species
CUUCAGUACCGACGAAGCGCCUUUGGUGGUGACGGUAGGUACAGAAGAAGCACCGGCCAACUACGUGCCAGCAGCCGCGGUAAUACGUAGGGUGCGAGCGUUGUCCGGAAUUAUUGGGCGUAAAGGGCUCGUAGGCGGUUUGUCGCGUCGGGAGUGAAAACACCGGGCUUAACUCGGUGCUUGCUUUCGAUACGGGCAGACUAGAGGUAUGCAGGGGAGAACGGAAUUCCUGGUGUAGCGGUGAAAUGCGCAGAUAUCAGGAGGAACACCGGUGGCGAAGGCGGUUCUCUGGGCAUUACCUGACGCUGAGGAGCGAAAGUGUGGGGAGCGAACAGGAUUAGAUACCCUGGUAGUCCACACCGUAAACGUUGGGCGCUAGGUGUGGGACCCGUCCACGGGUUCCGUGCCGCAGCUAACGCAUUAAGCGCCCCGCCUGGGGAGUACGGCCGCAAGGCUA